CCUACGGGUGGCAGCAGUGAGGAAUAUUGGUCAAUGGCCGGAAGGCUGAACCAGCCAUGCCGCGUGAAGGUCAGUGCCCUAUGGGCGUUAAACUUCUUUUGUGCGGGAGCAAUAAUGGUCACGUGUGGCCCGACGAGAGUACCGUACGAAUAAGCAUCGGCUAACUCCGUGCCAGCAGCCGCGGGAAUACGGGGGAUGCAAGCGUUAUCCGGAUUUAUUGGGUUUAAAGGGUGCGUAAGCUGUGAGGUAAGUCAGCGGUGAAAUGCACCCGCUCAAAGGGGUGAAGUGCCAUUGAUACUGGCGUGCUGGAAUGCGGAUGCCGUGGGAGGAAUGUGUGGUGUAGCGGUGAAAUGCAUAGAUAUCACACAGAACACCGAUUGCGAAGGCAUCUCACGAAUCCGCGAUUGACGCUGAUGCACGAAAGCGUGGGGAUCAAACAGGAUUAGAUACCCGGGUAGUC
rnacentral:rRNA from 1 species